GAUGAACGCUGGCGGCAGGCUUAACACAUGCAAGUCGAACGCCCCGCAAGGGGAGUGGCAGACGGGUGAGUAACGCGUGGGAACGUACCUUUCAGUUCGGAAUAACUCAGGGAAACUUGUGCUAAUACCGGAUACGCUCGUAAGAGGAAAGAUUUAUCGGGGAUGGAUGAGCCCGCGUUGGAUUAGCUAGUUGGUGGGGUAAAGGCCUACCAAGGCGACGAUCCAUAGCUGGUCUGAGAGGAUGAUCAGCCACAUUGGGACUGAGACACGGCCCAAACUCCUACGGGAGGCAGCAGUGGGGAAUAUUGGACAAUGGGCGCAAGCCUGAUCCAGCCAUGCCGCGUGAGUGAUGAAGGCCUUAGGGUUGUAAAGCUCUUUCACCGAUGAAGAUAAUGACGGUAGUCGGAGAAGAAGCCCCGGCUAACUUCGUGCCAGCCGCCGCAGUAA
rnacentral:rRNA from 1 species